CGCUCUGAAUUGUACGGAGCUUUCAAAUUUCAAUUGGUUUUGAAAAAAGCCCAGAAGCUACAACUUGAAGGCAACAAUGAAAGAACACAGGUUUGCAAUUGGGAGAGAGAGUUCAGACUGAUCGGUGUCUGGCAGCUCUUGCAUUAGAGACAUCUGUUCUAUCUUUGAUGCUUGGGUUGGAAAGAAAGUGAGAAAGGGAUUCAAGACAGCUUGCAUUGAAAUCAAAAUCUCUCUCUCUCUAGGUCAAGGUUUUCGCUUUCUCAAGGUAAAGGAUCAUGCUGGGAUUUAAAAAUAGGUACAUGACAUUGGAGUUUAUCUUGGAUCCGAAUAAAGAACUUGCAGAGAAAGAUCCUGUUAUCAUUACCACAUAAAAUGUUACAAAAGCCAUCAAAUGCUCCAUUUUUCACUAGCAACACUUCAAUCAUGGCUUUUGAGCUGUUGAGCUGGGAAUUUGAACCAUGGUCUUGGGUUGGAGACGAAGCCGAUCGAAUUGACUGUGAGAUGAUGAAGUUGACCGAGGAAAAAGAUGAUGACGUCUGCCAACAGUGGAGAACGACAUCGUCUAACCCAAAAGGGUUUUAAGCCAACUGUCUUCCUCGUAUUGAGAGAAGACUAAAGAAGAAAAACAAAGAGACAAA